GCGUUGUCCGGAAUUAUUGGGCGUAAAGAGCUUGUAGGUGGCUUGUCGCGUCUGCCGUGAAAACCCGAGGCUUAACCUCGGGCGUGCGGUGGGUACGGGCAGGCUAGAGUGUGGUAGGGGAGACUGGAACUCCUGGUGUAGCGGUGAAAUGCGCAGAUAUCAGGAAGAACACCGAUGGCGAAGGCAGGUCUCUGGGCCAUUACUGACACUGAGAAGCGAAAGCAUG
rnacentral:rRNA from 1 species